rnacentral:misc_RNA from 1 species
UGGAGAGAAGAAGUGGAAGUGCGACAAGUGUUCAAAGAGAUAUGCUGUCCAAUCUGAUUGGAAAGCACACUCAAAAACUUGUGGCACUAGGGAGUACAAAUGCGACUGUGGAACUCUAUUUUCGCGGAGAGAUAGCUUCAUCACUCACAGGGCCUUUUGCGAUGCAUUAGCUGAGGAAACGGCAAGAGUAAAUGCAGCAUCUAAUGGUUUGGCUGCAGUUUCCACGAACUUCAACUAUCAUCAUCUUAUGGGGACUACUCCUGUAGGGCCUAACAUGGCACAGCAUUUCUCUUCAGUUUUCAAGCCAAUCUCAAGCAAUGACCAGACAAUGGACCGAAGUAGAAGGGGACUCUCCUUGUGGGUGAGCCAAGGACCCCAAGUUCAUCAUGAAGUAAUAGGCGGCAAUAAUAGUAUCCAAGAGAUUCACCAACUUGGGUCUACGGGUUCAUCAGGAGCAAUAUUUGGUGACCCUCUUUUUUCAUCGUCAAAUCCUUCACCAUCUGAUCAUUUUCAGUUGAAUUGGCCCUUUUUUGGAAAUAAGCUCCUCUCUUCAUGUAAUGGUCAUGAACAGUUAACAAGCAAUGAUUCGCUUCCAUUAAACAACGCUAAGGAAGCUGCAGCAGCAGUUCAACUAGUAACCGUUCCUUCCUUAUAUAGCAACCAACAGCAAUCGCAUCAAACCACUUCAGCAAAUAUGUCAGCCACAGCUUUACUUCAAAAAGCUGCUCAAAUUGGUGCAACUUCAACUGACCCAUCAUUCCUUGGGAGUUUUGGAUUAAAGUACAGUAGUAACAGUACUCAAGUUCAAGAAGGGAACAAGUACUGCGGAUUAAUGUAUGGCUCAAACCCAGUAAGCACGAGUACAAAUCUAGCAAGUGAUGACACAGCAGGGAAUGAUAUUUCCAGCUUAAAUCAUCAGCUGCAAAUGUACCCAACAGCCAAACGCCAAAAGAUACAAAGCGACCAAGAUAGUGCAGGAGGGCAAACAAGAGACUUUCUUGGGGUUGGUGUACAACAAGCCAUAUGCCACCCAUCAACAAUCAAUGGGUGGAUUUGAUUUUGAUAUGAUAUGGGAAUUUCAUUCAUGGGUCGCAUGUUUUCUAUCUGAAUAGAGAUUAAAAUUGGUAAUAAUAAAGUUGGACUUGAGGUGAGAGAGAGGGAGAGAUUUUAGUAUUAGGAAACUUUGCAGGAAGGAAAAGGUGACAUUAUGUGGCAUGAUGUGGGCUAAAAGUUAAGGUUAGAUAACCAUUGAAGAGAUAAAGGAAGAGAUCCAUGCAUAUUCCUGUUGAGCACAGAAAGCUGAUCCCUUUAAAAAUGGUGGCUUUUUCUAUUUUUGAUAAAAGAGGAAGGGAGUAGUGGGGGGCAGAGUAUGAACAACUUUUGAGCUCCAUUAUUGCAUUUGUUUCAUCUCUAUUGUGGUUGUUAUCUUGUCGAACUCGGACUUGAAAGAAAGAAAGAAUAAUAUUAUUCCCAUUUCCCAGUGGCAAAA